AUUGAACGCUGGCGGCAUGCCUUACACAUGCAAGUCGAACGGCAGCAUGAUCUAGCUUGCUAGAUUGAUGGCGAGUGGCGAACGGGUGAGUAAUACAUCGGAACGUGCCCUGUAGUGGGGGAUAACUAGUCGAAAGAUUAGCUAAUACCGCAUACGACCUGAGGGUGAAAGUGGGGGACCGCAAGGCCUCAUGCUAUAGGAGCGGCCGAUGUCUGAUUAGCUAGUUGGUGGGGUAAAGGCCCACCAAGGCGACGAUCAGUAGCUGGUCUGAGAGGACGAUCAGCCACACUGGGACUGAGACACGGCCCAGACCCCUACGGGAGGCAGCAGUGGGGAAUUUUGGACAAUGGGCGAAAGCCUGAUCCAGCAAUGCCGCGUGUGUGAAGAAGGCCUUCGGGUUGUAAAGCACUUUUGUCCGGAAAGAAAUGGCUCUGGUUAAUACCUGGGGUCGAUGACGGUACCGGAAGAAUAAGGACCGGCUAACUACGUGCCAGCAGCCGCGGUAAUACGUAGGGCCCAAGCGUUAAUCGGAAUUACUGGGCGUAAAGCGUGCGCAGGCGGUUGUGCAAGACCGAUGUGAAAUCCCCGAGCUUAACUUGGGAAUUGCAUUGGGGACUGCACGGCUAGAGUGUGUCAGAGGGGGGUAGAAUUCCACGUGUAGCAGUGAAAUGCGUAGAGAUGUGGAGGAAUACCGAUGGCGAAGGCAGCCCCCUGGGAUAACACUGACGCUCAUGCACGAAAGCGUGGGGAGCAAACAGGAUUAGAUACCCUGGUAGUCCACGCCCUAAACGAUGUCAACUAGUUUUUGGGGAUUCAUUUCCUUAGUAACGUAGCUAACGCGUGAAGUUGACCGCCUGGGGAGUACGGUCGCAAGAUUAAAACUCAAAGGAAUUGACGGGGACCCGCACAAGCGGUGGAUGAUGUGGAUUAAUUCGAUGCAACCCGAAAAACCUUACCUACCCUUGACAUGCCACUAACGAAGCAGAGAUGCAUUAGGUGCUCGAAAGAGAAAGUGGACACAGGUGCUGCAUGGCUGUCGUCAGCUCGUGUCGUGAGAUGUUGGGUUAAGUCCCGCAACGAUGUCUCUAGUUGCUACGAAAGGGCACUCUAGAGAGACUGCCGGUGACAAACCGGAGGAAGGUGGGGAUGACGUCAAGUCCUCAUGGCCCUUAUGGGUAGGGCUUCACACGUCAUACAAUGGUGCAUACAGAGGGUUGCCAAGCCGCGAGGUGGAGCUAAUCCCAAAAAAUGCAUCGUAGUCCGGAUCGUAGUCUGCAACUCGACUACGUGAAGCUGGAAUCGCUAGUAAUCGCGGAUCAGCAUGCCGCGGUGAAUACGUUCCCGGGUCUUGUACACACCGCCCGUCACACCAUGGGAGUGGGCUUUACCA
rnacentral:rRNA from 1 species